UUCAGGGAGUGGCCUUGGGUGGCACAGGCCACCCCUGAAAUCUGAUUGGCCACCCCAAGUGCCACCCCAAUAUCUUACAAUAUGAUUGGCUAUAUGCCCAGUCAGAGGCGGGCCACGGCACUGAAUGUAAACUGCACUCUUGUUUAGAGUUGCAGUUCCUUCUCAAACCUGAGAGGCAGAGAUGCGCUAAAGUAGUAUGUAGCCUGCAAAACAAAAAAAGGCGCGAAGAAGAAGAAGAAGAAGUUUGAGCAGGUGAACCUACAGGUGAAACAAACUGUUUUUCUACAGUCAGUCUAUGGAAGCAACACGUCUCUGGAGCGUCGUCGUGAAAGAUGACAGGAAGAAGGGAGGGAGGAAGGAAGCAAGGAAGGAAGGAACUGUCAAAACAGAUUGGGUCUCUUGAAUGCCAACCUACCGACUGGUGUUUACAUGAUCGUGGGAACUAUGGAAGUCUCCAGAUAUGUGGCAUCAAUGGAAGACAUCUGGAGGAAGAAGAGGAAGCGUAUACAGACCAACUGAAGGACCAUCUUCUCUUCACUGAAGCUCUGAGGUAGGAUAUGUUUUCUCUCAGUAUUACCAGCUGCUGUGUUUAAUGUUGAUGGAACUGAGUUCACUUUAAAGGGUCAGAUCAUCACAGAAUCUCUUUGGCAGACCUCCAUUCAGUGCUUGAAGUGGAGACAAAUAAGUGUCAGUACUCCCCUUAUUCAUAUGUUACCGUGUGUAAGCCGCAAUCUCUUUUGACUUAUUCCUAUUUAUGUAUGAUUUUUAAGCAUGUUAUACUGUUUCAGUCAUCAUCAGCUGGGAUUUUAUUGCUAUAUUAUUAUACUUGGGGUUAUGCAUCUUCUAUAGUUGGCCUAUAAUACUCCAAUAAUAUUCCAAAUGGAACAUUAUAGGGUUAAGGUGGUGUGUUUGUAUAUAGUGUUCAUACUUACAGUGCUUUCCUGUGUUAUUUGUAGCAUCACUCUAUAAUAUAUUAUAGGAUGCCUAUCCACCUUAUUCCUAGUCCCCAUGAUGCCUUGCGUGAAUUAUGGGCGCAACUUCCGUCGUGUCGCGUCACUGAGCCGGAACCGCUGUUUUCCAACGGUACGCUAAUCCUCUCUCCAUAUUAAAACAUCUAGUAAAACAUGUGUGAACACCACCUCUUACAGCUCA